GAGUUUGAUCGUGGCUCAGAUUGAACGCUGGCGGCAUGCCUUACACAUGCAAGUCGAACGGUAACAGGUCUUCGGAUGCUGACGAGUGGCGAACGGGUGAGUAAUACAUCGGAACGUGCCCAGACGUGGGGGGAUAACGAGGCGAAAGACUUUGCUAAUACCGCAUACGAUCUAAGGAUGAAAGCAGGGACCGCAAGGCCUUGCGCGUUUGGAGCGGCCGAUGGCAGAUUAGGUAGUUGGUGGGAUAAAAGCUUACCAAGCCGACGAUCUGUAGCUGGUCUGAGAGGACGACCAGCCACACUGGGACUGAGACACGGCCCAGACUCCUACGGGAGGCAGCAGUGGGGAAUUUUGGACAAUGGGCGAAAGCCUGAUCCAGCAAUGCCGCGUGCAGGAUGAAAGGCCUUGGUUGUAACUGCUUUGUUACGGAACGAAAGGACGUCUGGCUAAUACCUAGGGGCGACAUGACGGUACCGUAACGAAUAAG
rnacentral:rRNA from 1 species